rnacentral:lncRNA from 10 species
CAGACGUUGAUGGGAAAUGGCUGACAGCAGGAUAAACAAGCAGCUCCCUUUUUGGUGAGCUUCAGGGGAAUCAGGUGGACAGAAUCAAGGCUUCAGACCCUGAACUAAAUACUGGAGUGUCGAGAUCAAGAAGGCAUGAUUCCCGCCCUUAGGAGUGCACCAUCAAAGGAGGUGAGGAGUGCAUCUCCUCACAGGAGGAGACAGAAAGAAAACAUGAGAGACAGGGAAAAAACGCUUGAUGACGUUGAUAUACAGUUUGAGUGUCUUUUCUAAUCUGGAUCAACUUCGAACCAAGAUGAAAGAAGCAUAGAAACAAAAGCACAAGAGAAGAAAAGGCAAGAAAAAUAAGGGGAGAGAGGAUGACAAGAAUAGUACCAGGCUGGGCACAGGGGCCCUAAAGAUGAGAAUUUAAGCUGGAUCUCCUAGAGGAGUUGGGAUCAAGUCUAUGUACUUGGAGAAUACAAGAGAAGGACCCAGCUGGGUGUGGUGGCUCACACCUGUAAUCCCAGCACUUUGGGAGGCCGAGGCGGGCGGAUUACCUGAGGUCAUGAGCCCCAGACCAGACUGGCCAACAUGGCGAAACGCUGUCUCUACUAAAAAUACAAAAAUUAGCCUGGCAUGGUGGUGCACACCUGUAAUCCCACCUACUCAGGAGUCUGAGGCAGGAGAAUCACUUGAACCCAGGAGGCAGAGGUUGCAGUGAGCCAAGAUUGCACCACUACACUCCAGCCUCGGUGACAGGGUGAGACUCUGUCUCAAAAAAAAAAAAAGAGAGAGAGAGAAGG